UACAGAAAAAAGACUGCAAUCAGAGAUCAUUGGAUGUGUACCUUGGUCUACCAUUUCUCAGCUCUGAAACUUAUAACAGGUUGUAUUGAGGGUCAACCUCAGAAUUCUAAUUCCUAUUCAUGGGGUUAUUGUGAUGACGGAGUUAGACAUGUGCAAGUUUCCAGCACACGAACAUGUUGACAAAAUGAGAUUUAAACCCACUGGAGAGUUUCACAAUUCAAGACUAAACCUCAGAAUUGACUGAAGUACACCACAGAUGUGGAAAGAUUUCUUCCAGGUUUCAGCAGCUUUGACUUUUAGCUUCUUUCCUUGGAAAUGUGGAG